rnacentral:rRNA from 1 species
AGAGUUUGAUCCUGGCUCAGAGCGAACGCUGGCGGCAUGCUUAACACAUGCAAGUCUCACGGGCAGCAAUGUCAGUGGCGGACGGGUGAGUAACGGGUAGGAAUCUGUCCUUAGGUGGGGGAUAACUGUGGGAAACUACAGCUAAUACCGCAUGAAACCUGUGGGUCAAAGGCGCAAGUCGCCUGAGGAGGAGCCUGCGUACGAUUAGCUAGUUGGUGGGGUAAGAGCCUACCAAGGCUACGAUCGUUAGCUGGUCUGAGAGGAUGAUCAGCCACAUUGGGACUGAGACACGGCCCAAACUCCUACGGGAGGCAGCAGUGGGGAAUAUUGGACAAUGGGCGAAAGCCUGAUCCAGCAAUGCCGCGUGUGUGAAGAAGGUCUUCGGAUUGUAAAGCACUUUCGACGGGGACGAUGAUGACGGUACCCGUAGAAGAAGCCCCGGCUAACUUCGUGCCAGCAGCCGCGGUAAUACGAAGGGGGCUAGCGUUGCUCGGAAUGACUGGGCGUAAAGGGCGCGUAGGCGGAUUGUACAGUCAGAUGUGAAAUUCCCGGGCUUAACCUGGGGGCUGCAUUUGAUACGUAUGGUCUUGAGUGAGGAAGAGGGUUGUGGAAUUCCCAGUGUAGAGGUGAAAUUCGUAGAUAUUGGGAAGAACACCGGUGGCGAAGGCGGCAACCUGGUCCUUUACUGNNGCUGAGGCGCGAAAGCGUGGGAAGCAAACAGGAUUAGAUACCCUAGUAGUCC